AAUUAACUCUUAUUUUUAUUUGAGUAAAGUGCUAUUUGAGUCCCUAUUUUUAUUUGAUAAUUAGUUUACAAGUGCUUUAAUUUUAAUUUCCCUCCCCAAAUUCCAAUUAGAUACCCAUUUGACCAUUUCCCCCAAAUUUUAUAAUUUCCCUCACAUUCUCGUAUUUCCCUUUUCUAUCAGUUUCCACCAUUGCACCACUUAUGAAUCAUUGCCGAGUGACCGAGGAACCAUCAUCGCCGCCAGUUGUCUCUCCACACUUCAAUGCUUCAAUCCUCACUUUAGCCCUGGGGCGCAGGAAAUCAAACUUGAGCCAUGUGUGAUGUGUGAACACCUUGACAAAGAACCUCACUUUAAUCUAGAUAGAUCAAAGAUGGAGACAUUAUUUGCUGACCGGAACUUCCUAAAGCUGAUGAAAAAUACUGAAAUACUGAUGUUGCCUCAUUUCUAUGAUAUGUGAAAAAUCGUCAGAUAGUUCAUUUAAGCUCUCUAGAUAGCAGGAAGAUGAUUUAUGUCUUGAAUUCAUAUAAUACACAAUAUUAGGUUACCAAAGCAGAGCACUGUUGGAGAUGCUCUAAUGAAAUAAAGACAAAGGUUAAAUUAUCUCAUCUAAAUGAUGAACUUAGACCAAUUGCAGUAUUUUCUCAUAAGAUCUACAAGAUCUUAUUGAGAAUAUAAAUGAUCAAAACUGGACAUUACAAGCUGAGGAAAAGAAAAGAACUCGAGCCCCAAGAUCCUUGAUUCAUGCUUUAUCAUUUCACAAAAGUGGUUGCAAAACGAUACUGAAUGCUAGCGACUGACUUUAGAAGCUAUGAUGUGGAAGGUUAUGAAACAACUAUCAGAUGUUGAAGAUUGUGGAAGAUUGGUAAAAGUAAAAUGCUUUCACGUCUCGUUAUUAAGUUAUUGUAAUUCACACUUUGUGGUGACUAUAUUGUUAUUUGAAUUUGGACAAGUGUAUUCAAGUCAACAUAUGACUAUUAAUGAUAGUGUUAUUAUUGUUUUGAUGUAA